CCGGCCUCCGGCCCCUCCGGCCCCCCGGCCUCCCCCUCACCCCGAGCGGGCCAGCUCCAGCCCUCCUGGCUCUCGAUCCGGACCAGGACCACCUAAGAUAGACUGGAGUGUCGCCGCUGCCACCGUGACUCCCCACGCUAUCCCGGAAAAUCCCUAAAACAAGCAGCCGGCACUAGCUUAGAAAACCACUGGAACUUUAUAGCAAUGUGCUGUCAUCUUUCCCGAGGUUAGUGCCGGAGAACACCCCCCUGGAACCUUCCCAGCUCCCGAAGGGUGGGGUCACCACCCUCUGGGACUGGACUCCCACGGGUGCCAGAGGAGGGUCUGUGUUUGGCUGAGCGGCUGUAGAUUAGACCCGAGGGUCUCCAAGAUGGACCCCAAGGCCAAGGGGUCAAAAAUCAGGAUUCUGAAUCUGGCGGCGACGGCCUCUUCACGCUCUGGCCUGCAGCAGCUGCCUCCGGAAUGGCUCAAAGUCCUCGGGCACGGUGUCUGAGGAGGGAGGCGGCGCUGAGGUCAGAAGAUGGGCCCCCCCUCGAGGGACAAGGGCCGGAAGGCCAGAGCCUCACCGUUGCAUCGAUACUGGAGGUUGGACCAAAUGAUGUUUUCCUGGGAGAAGCAGAAGACCCCAAGACGCCCCCCUCGCAUGGCCGUGUCAAUGAUCACCCCGGAGUCCGCCACGAGCUGAGGGCCCUCAUAGAGCUUCACCCUGUCCAGGGUAGGGUGUCUGUUGGUGCGAGGGUGCCCAGUGGCACUGGGCCAUCAAGGCCAGGCUCUGCACCUCCCCAACCCCCCUUUUGCUCACCGGGCCUGAGAGAACGGAAGGAGGGAGAGGGAGGAAGGAAAGGGGUGGGAGGGGUGCUUUUCUCAGGCCUGGGGCCCCUGCCUCUUUGUCCGCCCCCUUUGCAUCUCAAAGCACCAGCCGCAUUCCAAGCGAGGAUUGGGUUGUCAUGACAAUGAGCACAAUGGGCUGGGGGGUGAAGUCACCGGCUUCCCAGGCUCUAGUCCACCCUCCCUCACCCCCUGCCCUGGCACCCUGCAGCCCCAGGCACCUUAAAGGGGAACCGACCCUGGGCUCUCCCCGUUUGGCCCUCCCUCGCAUCAUCCCCACCAACUAGGCCACGUGCGCUUGUGCACACGGCACAACCCAGAAGCUGUAGCUCCACUACUAGAUGUGCCAUCUGGGCCUCAGUUUACUCUUCUGCAAAUGAUGAGCCCUCCAGGCCAGACGCUGAUGGGGCCGCUCCUGGGUGCCGCACGGGAGGGGCUGGAUGUGACGGGCCUCUCCUCUGUCUGGCCUGCAGCUCAGAGGUCAGAUGUCCCCAUUUCACUGAGGGGAACACGGAGCACAGAAAAGGAAGGACUCGCCCAACACUGCCUACAGGUCUAACUUCCGCAGCGGCCGCACUAGAGCCCAGGCUGCCUGCCGCGGAGGGAGGGAGGCUGAGGCCCUCGUCUGUGGUGAGAGGGGAGAGAGAGCGGCGGCCCAGGGCCGGUGAAGGGAAGGCGGUUCGGCCACAGGUCUGCCCUGCCCUCCCCUCACCGGAUGUAGCCCACUUGAGGCCGGUGCAGCAGCUGCCAGCGGUAGGAGGUCUUGUCACGCCAGCCCACGUUCCGUGGGUCAGUCCACAGCAGCCGCACCUGAUCGGGGGUGUGGCCGGUGUGCCACAGGGCAUUCCGGAGGUGUUCACCUGGGCCAGACACUGACGUCACUGCCUGGAGGGGGUCGGUUGAGACAGCGCAUCAGCCACAGGACUCGCACCACAGGCUGAAGCGGCCGCUGUCCUGGUAGCUGAAGAGGAAGCCCGCGUAGUCGUCAUCGGUCACCGUGUUCACGUGGAAGGUGCCUUCGAAGUCCACACCGUUGAAGGCUGUGUAUCCUGGGCGGGGGUGGGGUCACGGUCAGGGCCCGCAGAGCUGCCUACCCGUGGCCCAUUGUGGGCCAUGAGUGGGACUGGACGCCCGCUU